rnacentral:tRNA from 1 species
GCCGGGGUGGCCGAGCGGACUAAGGCGCCGGCCUUGAGAGCCGGUGGGUGAUAAGCCCGCGCGGGUUCGAAUCCCGCCCCCGGCGCCA